rnacentral:tRNA from 1 species
CCUGGUGGCUCAGAUGAUAGAGAGUCUGCCUGCAGUGCAGGAGACCCAGGUUCAAUCCCUGGGUCAGGA